GAUGAACGCUAGCGGCAGGCCUAACACAUGCAAGUCGAACGGUAACAGGAAAAAGCUUGCUUUUUUGCUGACGAGUGGCGCACGGGUGCGUAACGCGUAUACAAUCUACCUUUUACAGGGGGAUAGCCUUUGGAAACGAAGAAUAAUACCCCAUAGUAAGUUAACUUGGCAUCGAGAUAAUUUUAAAGAUUUAUCGGUAAAAGAUGAGUAUGCGUCCUAUUAGCUAGAUGGUGUGGUAACGGCACACCAUGGCAACGAUAGGUAGGGGCCCUGAGAGGGGGAUCCCCCACACUGGUACUGAGACACGGACCAGACUCCUACGGGAGGCAGCAGUGAGGAAUAUUGGACAAUGGAGGCAACUCUGAUCCAGCCAUGCCGCGUGCAGGAAGACUGCCCUAUGGGUUGUAAACUGCUUUUAUACAGGAAGAAACCUUUCCACGUGUGGAGAGCUGACGGUACUGUAAGAAUAAGGAUCGGCUAACUCCG
rnacentral:rRNA from 1 species